UACGUAGGGUGCAAGCGUUGUUCGGAAUUACUGGGCGUAAAGAGUGUGUAGGCGGUGCUCUAAGUUUGGUGUGAAAUCUCCCGGCUCAACUGGGAGGGUGCGCCGAAAACUGGAAUGCUUGAACAUGGGAGAGGAAAGCGGAAUUCCUGGUGUAGCGGUGAAAUGCGUAGAUAUCAGGAGGAACACCUGCGGUGUAGACGGCUUUCUGGACCAUUGUUGACGCUGAGACACGAAAGCGUGGGUAGCAAACAGG
rnacentral:rRNA from 1 species